rnacentral:rRNA from 1 species
UACGUAGGGUGCAAGCGUUGGUCCGGAAUUAUUGGGCUAAAGAGCUCGGUAGGCGGUUUGUCGCGUCUGCUGUGAAAACUCGGGGCUUAACUCCGGGCCUGCAGGUGGGUACGGGCAGACUAGAGUGCGGUAGGGGAGACUGGAAUUCCUGGUGUAGCGGUGAAUGCGCAGAUAUCAGGAGGAACACCGGUGGCGAAGGCGGGUCUCUGGGCCGUAACUGACGCUGAGGAGCGAAAGCGUGGGGAGCGAACAGG